AAACCCUGGCUCUAACAAAAAGUACAAAAAUUAGCCAGGUGUAGUCGUACAUACCUGUAGUCGAAGCUACUCAGAGACUGAGGUGGGUGGAUUGCUUGAGCCCAGGAGUUCAAGGUUGCAG